GACGAACGCUGGCGGCGUGCCUAAUACAUGCAAGUUGAGCGCUGAAGGUUGGUACUUGUACCGACUGGAUGAGCAGCGCACGGGUGAGUAACGCGUGGGGAAUCUGCCUUUGAGCGGGGGACAACAUUUGGAAACGAAUGCUAAUACCGCAUAAAAACUUUAAACACAAGUUUUAAGUUUGAAAGAUGCAAUUGCAUCACUCAAAGAUGAUCCCGCGUUGUAUUAGCUAGUUGGUGAGGUAAAGGCUCACCAAGGCGAUGAUACAUAGCCGACCUGAGAGGGUGAUCGGCCACAUUGGGACUGAGACACGGCCCAAACUCCUACGGGAGGCAGCAGUAGGGAAUCUUCGGCAAUGGACGAAAGUCUGACCGAGCAACGCCGCGUGAGUGAAGAAGGUUUUCGGAUCGUAAAACUCUGUUGGUAGAGAAGAACGUUGGUGAGAGUGGAAAGCUCAUCAAGUGACGGUAACUACCCAGAAAGGGACGGCUAACUACGUG
rnacentral:rRNA from 1 species